AUUGAACGCUGGCGGCAGGCCUAACACAUGCAAGUCGAGCGGAUGAAGGGAGCUUGCUCCUGGAUUCAGCGGCGGACGGGUGAGUAAUGCCUAGGAAUCUGCCUGGUAGUGGGGGAUAACGUCCGGAAACGGGCGCUAAUACCGCAUACGUCCUGAGGGAGAAAGUGGGGGAUCUUCGGACCUCACGCUAUCAGAUGAGCCUAGGUCGGAUUAGCUAGUUGGUGGGGUAAAGGCCUACCAAGGCGACGAUCCGUAACUGGUCUGAGAGGAUGAUCAGUCACACUGGAACUGAGACACGGUCCAGACUCCUACGGGAGGCAGCAGUGGGGAAUAUUGGACAUGGGGCGAAAGCCUGAUCCAGCCAUGCCGCGUGUGUGAAGAAGGUCUUCGGAUUGUAAAGCACUUUAAGUUGGGAGGAAGGGCAGUAAGUUAAUACCUUGCUGUUUUGACGUUACCAACAGAAUAAGCACCGGCUAACUUCGU
rnacentral:rRNA from 1 species